rfam:Fukomys damarensis contig131035, whole genome shotgun sequence.
GGAUGUGAGGGCGAUCUGGCUGUGACAUCUGUCAUCCCACUCAUAUCCAGGGUUGAUUUGGCCAAUCUGGCUGCCUUGGCGAGUGUCCCCUUCCUCCCUUGCCGCUCCAUGUAUAUCCCUCUUGAAGCAGUGUGCUCUGAUCUGUUGAAGAGAGCAAACCCUGCCCCCGUAGAGGAAGACCAUUUCCUAGGUCAAGGGUAUACAAGUAGCUGUAUAUUCGUUAGAGCCUCCAAAUAAGUUCCUGAGGUCCAAAAAACAAGUAAAGACGGAGAAACUGUCACAAACCAGAGGAAACUAACUAAACGUGAUGACUAAAUGCAAUGUGGUAUGCUAAAUUGAAUC